AUCCUCUUCCCUCCCCUUUUCUGCCUAAAAGCAGGGCAUAAAUUUCCCUUUGUGAAGGUGUCCGCCUCUCCCGUACUAGGAAGAGGAGAGCAACUCUUAUCACCAAGACCGAGAUGGAGGAUUGGCA